CUUUCUUUUGGAAGGCUGGCUGCCAAAAAUUGCUACUUAUUAGCCUGAGGUAAACAAUAGCCAUCAGUAAACAGAAGUGACGUGGUGGCUGGCGUCUGGUGGAUGCACAAGUGUGUGUGUGUGUGUGUGUGUGUGUGUGUGUGUGUGUG